AAAAACAAAAAACAAAGUAAUUAUCAAAGCAAAAAAAAAAAAAGAUUAAACACACACACACAUGUAUUCACUACAAGGAUGAAACGUAUUAACUCUCUUGGCUAUAUUUAGUUCUCUUGGAAUAAUUACCGUUCGUUAUCGAAAUGUAAAGAAGCGGCUUAUACACCCCCACGUGAUAAGUAGGCUACCGUGAUUGGUAGAAUAGGGCUUUUGUUGGCUGAAAAAGUGCAAAAGAAAAAGAUGUUUUAUUAUGUGUCUACUCUCAUAUGUGGUAUGCAAAAAAGAAAUAUUUGCUUUUGUACUUGUCUUUGCUCUUGAUCUACAUGUAAAGUUAUAAAAAAAAAAUGUUAUUUUGGCUUUGCUAUAUAUGUUUUUUUUUAACCUACUAUGCUAAUUUGUUUUCUACUGUGAAGAAUGUUAGCAUAUUGACUUGUUGGCAGUUUACAUAGUAGCCCUAUAAGCAAUAGACAUUAUGACGUCGUGCUUCUCGUCUG